rnacentral:rRNA from 1 species
AGUGAACGCUGGCGGUAGGCCUAACACACGCAAGUCGAACGGCAGCACAGGAGAGCUUGCUCUCUGGGUGGCGAGUGGCGGACGGGUGAGGAAUACAUCGGAAUCUACUUUUUCGUGGGGGAUAACGUAGGGAAACUUACGCUAAUACCGCAUACGACCUACGGGUGAAAGCAGGGGAUCUUCGGACCUUGCGCGAUUGAAUGAGCCGAUGUCGGAUUAGCUAGUUGGCGGGGUAAAGGCCCACCAAGGCGACGAUCCGUAGCUGGUCUGAGAGGAUGAUCAGCCACACUGGAACUGAGACACGGUCCAGGCUCCUACGGGAGGCAGCAGUGGGGAAUAUUGGACAAUGGGCGCAAGCCUGAUCCAGCCAUACCGCGUGGGUGAAGAAGGCCUUCGGGUUGUAAAGCCCUUUUGUUGGGAAAGAAAUCCAGCUGGUUAAUACCCGGUUGGGAUGACGGUACCCAAAGAAUAAGCACCGGCUAACUUCGUGCCAGCAGCCGCAGUAA